rnacentral:rRNA from 1 species
GACGAACGCUGGCGGCGUGCUUAACACAUGCAAGUCGAACGGUAAGGCCCUUCGGGGUACACGAGUGGCGAACGGGUGAGUAACACGUGGGUGAUCUGCCCUGCACUUCGGGAUAAGCCUGGGAAACUGGGUCUAAUACCGGAUAGGACCACUGCCUGCAUGGGUGGUGGGGGAAAGCUUUUGCGGUGUGGGAUGGGCCCGCGGCCUAUCAGCUUGUUGGUGGGGUGAUGGCCUACCAAGGCGACGACGGGUAGCCGGCCUGAGAGGGUGACCGGCCACACUGGGACUGAGAUACGGCCCAGACUCCUACGGGAGGCAGCAGUGGGGAAUAUUGCACAAUGGGCGCAAGCCUGAUGCAGCGACGCCGCGUGAGGGAUGACGGCCUUCGGGUUGUAAACCUCUUUCAGCACCGACGAGGCGCAAGUGACGGUAGGUGCAGAAGAAGGACCGGCCAACUACGUGCCAGCAGCCGCCGUAAGAC